UGGGGAAUUUUGGACAAUGGGCGCAAGCCUGAUCCAGCAAUGCCGCGUGCAGGAAGAAGGCCUUCGGGUUGUAAACUGCUUUUGUCAGGGAAGAAAUCCUGUGGGUUAAUACCCCGUGGGGAUGACGGUACCUGAAGAAUAAGCACCGGCUAACUACGUGCCAGCAGCCGCGGUAAUACGUAGGGUGCGAGCGUUAAUCGGAAUUACUGGGCGUAAAGCGUGCGCAGGCGGUUGUGCAAGACAGGUGUGAAAUCCCCGGGCUUAACCUGGGAACUGCACUUGUGACUGCACGGCUAGAGUACGGUAGAGGGGGAUGGAAUUCCGCGUGUAGCAGUGAAAUGCGUAGAUAUGCGGAGGAACACCGAUGGCGAAGGCAAUCCCCUGG
rnacentral:rRNA from 1 species